CUCACCUGCAGAGAGGAAAAGCAAAACAAAGCAUCGACCCUCAGACUUCAUUUGGGACAAGCAGCAACCAACGGCUGUCAGAGGGAGAUGGGCACAGGGAGGCAAGGCUCCCUGAGCUCUAUAUUCCACCCUGUGAAUCAGGAUGGCAUCAAGGUAAACAGACCGAUGAGGCCAAAGUGAGACUGAAGUGGGCGCACACGAGGGAGCAUGGCAGGACCAGGUCCGUGACAUGCAACCAACAGAAAAGAGAAGAGAUGCAAAGACCUUGAGGAGCUCUGGGCUGACAACCUCCACCCUUGAUGGACAGUGAGAACCUCAGUGCAGUACCUUGAAGGCCCUGAGCACUGCCAAAGGGCCAUCAUUUGUGAGUCGGUGCACCAGUGAGGGCCAGGCCCGAUGAGCCAAGGGAAGGAGUUGGUUCUUUUGUGACUGCAGAACCACGACACACAAGUUCAGCACAUCCAAGACCUGAAAAAAGAGACAUGAUUUCAUUAGAUGGGGACUCAGUUCCCUCUCGGCAUCUGAGCUGACACAGAAAGAUGUGAAAAUGUCAUCCCUCAGAUAAAUUCCUCUUGAUGCCUUCUCUUAGCCACCACACAUGGACCAGGAGAUAAGGGAAGUUCCUUACUUAUCCACAUAGUCACUGCCAGCCAGACUACACCUCAGUCCUGCUGCUCUGUGAAUGCAGAGAAGGGGCUGCACACUGACC